GACGGAGGAUGCAAGCGUUAUCCGGAAUGAUUGGGUGUAAAGCGUCCGCGGGUGGCAGUUCAAGUCUGCUGUCAAAGACCGGGGCUUAACUUCGGAAAGGCAGUGGAAACUGAACAGCUAGAGUAUGGUAGGGGCAGAGGGAAUUCCUGGUGUAGCGGUGAAAUGCGUAGAGAUCGGCAGGAACACCCAGGGGGAAACCAGUCGACUGGGCAUCGUACUGACGCUGAGGUGCGAGAGCGUGGGGAGCGAACCGG
rnacentral:rRNA from 1 species